AGCACAAACAUCUCUGAACUCCAAGUAAACUGGGGCUUAAUAAUUUAGAAAAAUAUAUAGGAAAGGAAAAUCAGUUUAUGGAGCACACGCACUGACAGGUUUUUUCUUUUUCUCUUUUGUAAUGUGAGUGCCUGAUUUGUGGUUUGAUUCAAUGGGGGAUCCAUUUCAAUGGGGAAUCCACCUCAAAGAUGGCUCUCUCCAACAGACAUGUUGCCAGCCACUUGACAAGGUGGUGUUCCUGAUGGGGCCAGCUGAGGAGAGGAAACUGGAGAUGUGACCCUGGAGCUGGAAUUCCGUGAACAGUCAGGCUGGACACAGUGUGACAUGACAACACCCAGGAGUUUUCCAUAGUUUAAGGUAGACGGGCUGGAGGUGCAUCUUGUUCUCUGAGGGUGGCAUGAAUAAUCAGUAUAAUAUGAAACCACCCAGAAGAUGGCUGUUUGGAUAGAUGAUUGGACUGCAAGUGACAACACUGACUGGGUGACAAGCCAAGACACCAUUGACUAUGAGUACCUUAUUUUUUUGUGGGUAGUACAGAUAAUCAAUGGUUUUUAAAGGUGGUAGGUAGCUGUAGGGACACAGCAUUACCUUCGAGGAUGUAGAGGACCCUAUCCAGUGGGAUGUCCCAUGUCAUCAUGGUGGAUUGGCUCAAAACAACGGGACCAAAAGUGCCCAUGUCAGGAGAUCUUUUCAGCUGCCAAAUCCAAAUACUAGCUUCAUACAGUGGACCAUAUACCAUAGUGUGCUGGGGGCACAGAAAGAAGAAAUAGAAUUGCAAGGGAGCAUAGUCAGCAUUUGUCAGGGAGCUAGAAGAGAAGGUUGGUUGAACCUUGGAAGACACUCAUUACUUAUUGGUGGAAGGAACAAUU